UACGGAGGGUGCGAGCGUUGUCCGGAUUUAUUGGGUUUAAAGGGUGCGUAGGCGGCCCGUUAAGUCCGGGGUGAAAGCCCGCUGCUCAACAGCGGAACUGCCCUGGAUACUGACGGGCUUGAGUACAGACGAGGUUGGCGGAAUGGACCGAGUAGCGGUGAAAUGCAUAGAUACGGUCCAGAACCCCGAUUGCGAAGGCAGCUGACUAGGCUGUUACUGACGCUGAGGCACGAAAGCGUGGGGAGCGAACAGG
rnacentral:rRNA from 1 species